UACGGAGGGUGCGAGCGUUGUUCGGAAUUACUGGGCGUAAAGGGUGCGCAGGCCGCGCGGGCAGUCAAAUGUGUAAUCCAGGGGCUCAACCCCUGAACUGCGCUUGAUACUUCCGCGCUCGAGCUUUGGAGAGGAGUCUGGAAUUCUCGGUGUAGCAGUGAAAUGCGUGGAUAUCGAGAAGAACACUUAGGGCGUAGGCAAGACUCUGGACAAAUGCUGACGCUCAUGCACGAAGGCUAGGGUAGCGAACGGG
rnacentral:rRNA from 1 species